ACUAGGAAAGGUGCAGCAGAAACUCCAGCUGUGUCAUACCUCAGGAAUCUGAAGAUUUGCCGUACUCAAGCCAUGCUGCUCCAAUACCCUUGGUAUGAGAUGUUUCAUGGCUAUUUUUAACUUCUCUUCAGGUGUGUAGCCUGGCAGCUCAAUGACUUCCAUCCUAUCUAACAGAGGAGGGGGUAUAGGUUGCAUCUUAUUGGCAGUUGCAACAAAUAUGACUUUCGACAGGUCGAACGGCACAUUCAAAUAGCUGGUGAUCAUGUUAAGGAACUCUCUCUCUUAUAUGUAUGUAUCAAUGCAUUCCCAACCCUUAGUAGGGUUAGAGUUUCUUUCUAUCCAACAACAAUAAAUGAAAGGAUACUGAUCGUUGAAUGCUUUGUUCUGCUCAGGAUCAAGAACUUCCAGUAGUGCUGAUGCUGGAUCACCACGUACAUCAGAACCAGUCUUGUCAAUUUCAUCUAGAAGCAUCACUGGAU
rnacentral:lncRNA from 1 species